AGUAGAAAGGAUUGCAAGGGGGUUGGGAGAACAAAAAGGAGAGGCAGCAUUAUGACAUGAGGGAAGAAAGAAAAAACAUUUGGAUUUGACUUGGACAGCGGAGGUUCAUUUUGAUGUUCUCCUGGACAAAUGAAGGACAGAUUCUGACCAUGUCUUCUGAGGGUUGGUGGUAGAAGAGAGUUGAAGGGGGUCGGGAUAACAGAAGGAAAAGGGACAAUUACAACAUGUGAA